rnacentral:rRNA from 1 species
AACUGCGAGUGAAGCGGGAAAAGCUCAAAUUUUGAAUCUGGUAGUCUUUUUGGCUGUCCGAGUUGUAAUCUAGAGAAGCGUCUUCCGUGCUGGACCGUGUACAAGUCUCCUGGAAGGGAGCGUCAUAGAGGGUGAGAAUCCCGUCUUUGACACGGACUACCCAGGGCUUAUGUGUUGCGCUCUCAACGAGUCGAGUUGUUUGGGAAUGCAGCUCAAAAUGGGUGGUAAAUUCCAUCUAAAGCUAAAUAUGGGCGAGAAACCGAUAGCGAACAAGUACCGUGAGGGAAAGAUGAAAAGAACUUUGGAAAGAGAGUUAAACAGUACGUGAAAUUGCUGAAAGGGAAACGCUUGAUGUCAGUCGCGUCGGCUGGGGAUCAACCUUGCUUCAUUCGUGGUGUGGGGUGUAUUUCUUAGUCGACGGGUCAGCAUCAGUUUCGGUCGCUGUACAAGGAUGAGAGAAAUGUGGCACUCUUCGGAGUGUGUUUAUAGUCUUUCGUCGCAUGCAGUGGCUUGGGACUGAGGAACUCUGCACGAAAUUCGCUUUGUGUUAUAGGAUGCUGGCAUAAUGGCCUUAAGCGACCCGUCUUGAAACACGGACCAAGGAGUCUAACAUGCCUGCGAGUGUUUGGGUGGCAAACUCGAGCGCGAAAUGAAAGUGAAAGUUGAGACCUCUGUCAUGGAGGGCAUCGACGCCCGGACCAGAGUCUUUGACGACGGAUCUGCGGUAGAGCAUGCAUGUUGGGACCCGAAAGAUGGUGAACUAUGCCUGAAUAGGGUGAAGCCAGAGGAAACUCUGGUGGAGGCUCGUAGCGAUUCUGACGUGCAAAUCGAUCG